rnacentral:lncRNA from 1 species
UGUUCAUUCAAUAUGUUUUUUGCAAUUGGCUUCAGUAAAUAAAUUAAAUUGUCCUGUACAAUUUAAACAAUACAGAUAGAGUCAUGUGAGAUAAUUAAAAAAAUUUGAUUGGUGUAAUUGUGUAAUAUAAAUCAACAGUUAUUUACAAUAGUUAAAUUGACCUAAUGAACAUUUGUUUAUUGAGGGCUCCUUGCGCAUGCGUCGUGUCAUGUUAGAACCUCCAAUAGGGGGCAGCACUGAAAACAACCGCACUUGACUCUGCUCAAUUAAAGCAGCAGAAAUAUCACGACAUGUGCUCUGGAAGUUUCUUGCAUUGCAACCGCAACCAACUGACCUAGACCGAGACGGUGACUCUGGACUGUGCCACCCCAGCGGUAAAAGGGAGUAUCCCACACCACAGCAAUAGGGUGGUGACUCAAAGGCCAACUCUCUGUUGUGCUGCUACUGGCUGGUUAACUCCUUCUGGAUCACUGCAGAGUUUUUAAGGAUCACGUCCAUUGGAGACUACAUUUGCUGCACAUUUGAAUAAACACGCUGCCAAACUCAUGGAAGUUGUAAGAAGGAAAGGAGGAGCUAUUGGAGACAAUGCUGCAGGGAUUCUACAUGAUCAUGAUGAGGACCUGCAAGAUUCGAAUGUGGAAGUAGAGACCAUGGCAGUCAUCCUAAUGCCCACAGAUGUGAAAAUCAUUCUGGAAGGCGAAGAGGUUAUGGCUGAUCUGCAUUCGGUGGUCGACGGAUUCGUCAUGCUGUUUGGGCUCAUUUAUCCCCUCAACAUGCAGUACCCAAAGUCGUGUGGACGUACAUUUGAGUUUGUUCAGAAGGUUCUUAUGGGACUGGAUGACAAGAAAAUGAACAAAAAGAAUGACUACCUACAAGCACUUUUUCUGGAACUAUGUUGUGUAACUGCUUGGGUAAAGAGACUGACAAGAUCAGUUUUUCUAGGGAGAAGCUGAAAAUAUUCAAGUUAAAGAGACACAACCAUUUGGGCAAAUAUGCUCAUUUUCCAAACUAUUGAGUUUUACCUUUCCCCUGUUCAUCCAGCUGUUCUCUGAGUCUGGCGACCCCAUUUGUGGCUUUAGCUUAGCAUGAAUCAUUGAAUCGGAUUAGGCUGAUAACACCUAAUGCUAAUUGCUAAUGGUCUAAUCCGAUUCAAUGAUUCAUGCUAAGCUAAAGCCACAAAUGGGGUCUCCAGACUCAGAGAACAGCUGGAUGAACAGGGGAAAGGUAAAACUCAACAGUUUAACUCGAGGGGAGGUGGGAAAUGAGCAUAUUUGCCCAAAUGGUGGUGUGUCCCUUUAAACAUUGUUCAAACUCCAAAUCUAUAAAUAUUUUUUAUUUAUUUUUGCAUUUGUAACCCUACAAAAUGUUAUCCUGACCACUGUUAAAUUAGGACAAAAUAAAAUAAUUGAUUAGUAUAAAAAGAUUUAAUUA